GACGAACGCUGGCGGCGUGCUUAACACAUGCAAGUCGAACGGCAAGGCCCUGCUUUUGUGGUGUGCUCGAUUGGCGAUCGCGUGAGUAACACGUGAGUAACCUGCCCUUGACUUUGGUAUAACUUCAGGUAACUGGGGCUAAUACCGUAUAGGAGCUCCUGCUUCAUUGUGGGGGUUGGAAAGUUUAGGCGGUUGGGGUUGGACUCGCGGCUUAUCAGCUUGUUGGUGGGGUAGUGGCUUACCAAGGCUUUGGCGGGUAGCCGGCCUGAGAGGGUGACCGGCGACAAUGGGACUGAGAUACGGCCCAGACUCGUACGGGAGGCAGCGGUGGGGAAUAUUGAACAAUGGGCGGAAGCCUGAUGCAGAAACGCCGCGUGCGGGAUGACGGCCUUCGGGUUGUAAAAAGCUUUAGCCUGUGACGAAGCGUGAGUGACGGUAAUGGGUAAAGAAGCACCGGCUAACUACGUG
rnacentral:rRNA from 1 species